rnacentral:rRNA from 1 species
CAGUCGCCGCGGGAAUACGUAGGUCCCGAGCGUUGUCCGGAUUUAUUGGGCGUAAAGCGAGCGCAGGCGGUUUGAUAAGUCUGAAGUUAAAGGCUGUGGCUCAACCAUAGUUCGCUUUGGAAACUGUCAAACUUGAGUGCAGAAGGGGAGAGUGGAAUUCCAUGUGUAGCGGUGAAAUGCGUAGAUAUAUGGAGGAACACCGGUGGCGAGGGCGACUCUCUGGUCUGUAACUGACGCUGAGGAGCGAAAGCGUGGGGAGCGAACAGGAUUAGAGACCCCUGUAGUCCCUGUCUCUUAUACA